rnacentral:rRNA from 2 species
GGCCUACACAUGCAAGUCGAGCGGUAGAGAGAAGCUUGCUUCUCUUGAGAGCGGCGGACGGGUGAGUAAUGCCUAGGAAUCUGCCUGGUGGUGGGGGAUAACGUUCGGAAACGGACGCUAAUACCGCAUACGUCCUACGGGAGAAAGCGGGGGAUCUUCGGACCUCGCGCCAUUAGAUGAGCCUAGGUCGGAUUAGCUAGUUGGUGAGGUAAUGGCUCACCAAGGCGACGAUCCGUAACUGGUCUGAGAGGAUGAUCAGUCACACUGGAACUGAGACACGGUCCAGACUCCUACGGGAGGCAGCAGUGGGGAAUAUUGGACAAUGGGCGAAAGCCUGAUC